UACGAAGGGGGCUAGCGUUGUUCGGAAUUACUGGGCGUAAAGCGUGCGCAGGCGGCUUCUCAAGUCAGGGGUGAAAGCCCAGAGCUCAACUCUGGAAUUGCCUUUGAGACUGAGUGGCUUGAGUACGAGAGAGGUGAGUGGAAUUCCCAGUGUAGAGGUGAAAUUCGUAGAUAUUGGGAAGAACACCGGUGGCGAAGGCGGCUCACUGGCUC
rnacentral:rRNA from 1 species